ensembl:lincRNA Mirg miRNA containing gene
CAGUCAAUUGUAAGGAGCACAGUUCCUGGAACCACAGCUUCUGGGGAAGGAGGAGUCCUAUCUGUCGUAUCUACCAGCAACCCUCGACGUUAUCGAAAGAGAGUCUAGGAAUUCAAUUUGUCAUUGGAAGAAUCUUCUGGAAGGAGAGAGGACAGUAGACAAGAGGCCCCGGUUUUCCUGUCAGAGAUCUCUGAGAAUAUUUGAGGGCUCCCUGCACAAGCGAUAUGAGACUGCCUGCCUUGUGUGAGCCUUGGAUGAGCCCUGCAGCUCCUUCGAGAUGCUCCUUGGAUAUUCCUGAUGGAGAAGACCGACCCUGAGGAAGCUUGGUCCUGCUUGCGAUGAGCUUGCUGUGCUUUCACGGACACCCUUCAUUUCUUCUACCAGUUUUCAGUGCCAGGGUGCGCUUGAAAGGAGAGCUGAUGCCAGGGCUGUAGCCUUCCCCAGCCAGAGCAUGUGGGCCAAACCCUUUCUGGAUGGCUAGGCAGUGGGGAGAAGCCCUGAGAUAGAUGCUUGAGAAGUAGUCACAACUCCCCUGGGGACAGUCUGGUUUUCAGGGUUACAUCCAUUCAAAAACACCCCCCAGAAUUCAGGCUUGUGAAAGACAAGCUAACUUGACCCUGUUCCUUUGUUCUCACUGAGGUCCUGUCCUUGGCAUCCCCUUCCUCCUGUGGACACCACUGAGGUGCAGACACUACCCUGAUGGGGCUUCCCGUCCUGCUGUUCGGCUUUGGAAGAGACUUGAUUCCUUUCCUUUUUGUGCUGGUGGAGAUCACACACAAAAGGGAUGAUGCCGGUGGCGGACAGGAAGCCCAGCUCCUGCUGCCUGGAUGACUCUUCCCUUGGUGGGGACCAAUCCUGGAUGGAAUCAGUUCAAGAUGGAUGCCAGCUUCAUACAAGAGCCCUAUCAGGAUUGGCCUGAGAGAGAAGUGCUAUCAGCUACUAAAAGUGAAUACUAAAUGGCCUAUCUAUGUAAGAGAUUCUCAGAGGGAAGCCCAAAGCCCAGGAAGAAAUGAUGGACCAGAAACCACAGGACAUGCUCGUAAGAAGACUCGCUGCAUGGUGGAUGGCCCAGAGACGGCGGGGCUCACAGAUGGUCACGUUUAGUGCUUGCAGAUUGGUAAUGCCUGUGCCCUUGGCUUUGUUUAUUCUGGUCAUACAAUGAUCAACCAGUUCUCAGUGCUGCCAUCGAGGGCUUUCUGGACAGCAUGGCACCUUCCGUAAGGAGACCUUGGCUUCAGUAGCUAGUCCAGAGAUGAGACAGUGGGAGUGGAGGAUCACCUGGGAUCAUGUAGAGCUCAAUGAACCUUCUCUUGAUUCAUAUGAGGAUGCUAGUAGCCUUGCUUGGGCUUUUCUGCAGUGGGACUUUUAUAGUCCCCUCAGGACCUUGAUGUGACUAACCAUAUGUGCACCAUUGAGAAAUGCAAGUCCCCAUUCACACACCCCAGGGUCUAUAUACCUGCAGAGGACUUCUGACCUACAGCAAGUGGGCUCCCUUCUCAUCUUGAAAACCUUCCAGUGUGAACUCUAGAACCAAGGAAGACAGAGAAAGGGGACAAUGUCAGCAUCGUUGCAAGGGAGUACCAAAUGCUACCUCUAAGGAUUUCCUGGACAUGAUGGCAACUUGCAGAAAGAUGGCGGUUCAGUCAAGCUGGUAGAGAAGCCAAGUAUGGAUGUUUGGCCACGGACAGUGUGCUUGAGCUAGCUGUAAGUCACCUGGUCGGGUUACCUGAGCAUCUGAUCCACCUGUAGGCCUCUCAUCAGUGGGCCGUGCCAACCUUGGUGAGGCAGCUGUGGCUCUGCCCCCAAGUAUCAGCUUACAAGACUUUGAAAAGAGGUCAUCUUCCGGAAGAGAUGUUGGUGCCAGCACCAUUCAGGGUGUGUGACUGGUUGACCAGAGGGGCGUGCACUCUGUUCACCCUGUGGGCCACCUAGUCACCAACCCUCAGCAUCAAUUCCACUCAAAGAAGACUUUCCAGAGAUCCUACUAAGUUUGGGGAUAUGUCAAUGGACUUGAUGGCUGUGCCUGCUCAGUGGACCAGGAUGAACUGUGGUCUUAGGGGUGUAUGUUUACAUAAGAUGCCAUGAGGCAUCCGUGGUAGCUGCUGCAUCACUGUCACAGCCUCCUUGAAAUGUUGACUUCAGAUGUGGACAUGAUGUUGACUUCCCAUGAGGGACCUGAAGUCCCUUCUCUCCUGGGAGAGUCUAUGAGAUGAUACCAACCUCUAGAAGCAGGCAUGGUUGUCCUGACAUCGCCACACUACCACAGGAACUUCCAGAAUACAUUCUCUUCAUGGAAACUGUGGAACCGCGCCCCCUCUGGUCCAGGAGGACUAACCAGAUUCAAGGCUAUCAGCAUCCCCCUUCAGGACAGUGGAAGCAGCCACCUUUUCGAGAGAGUCGAUGUGUUCUUCACCAGUGUUCUUCGCCAGUGAUCAUGUGUGAUACUUGGAGAGAGGCUGGCCGUGAUGAAUUCGAUUCAUCUAAACGAGUCAUACACGGCUCUCCUCUCUUCUAGUGUCAAACUCUGCCUCAGAGGUCUUCUCAAGCCACUACUGUUCCCAAGGAUGCCUAAUUGCAAUGCCAGCUUCUGGGGUGAACAUGGACCCACUGUCAUCGGGCAAGGUCUAGGAUGGACAUGGAGACCCACCAUCUGGGAGAUUCCAGAGUGGACGUGAACCCACCCACCAUCAUCAGGCAGCUUCCUGGAGUAUUCAGAAGCUGGCGGGUGUCAUCUGGAGGAUGUGACUGGGUACCAGUGCUAGAGCACGUGCCCACUGAGCAGUCUUCUUCACUUUCCUCAAUUCUCAUGAAACAUUCUGGGAUCUUUACCUCAAAGGACUCCAGAGGUUACAUCAUUGUCUUCGAACUGGUCAGUGGCUGGAGCUCUCUCCAGGACAAGUGCUUAGAGGAAGAACCUGGACAAGCUUCCCUCCCCAUACUGUUGACUGGAUCUUGUAUCUACCGUUAGCCACCAUCAUCGCCACUGUGUGACUCUUAGGAGCAUUUCCAGGAGGUGAUGCCAGCUGGGCAAAGAGCCUCUGUCCCACAGCCGUCGGUGCCCGCUGCAGCCUGCGCCCAGGAUGUCACAGCCUCAGCUCAACACCUCUGCUGGACAGCUUCAGGUGGUGAUUCCAGCUCCAGGGUUGCUGCGGUCAACACUGGGUACUUGAGAAGAGGUUGUCUGUGAUGAGUUCGCUUUAUUAAUGACGAAUAUAACACAGAUGGCCUGUUUUCAAUACCACCUGCCACUCUGGUCACUCGGCAGUACAUACCAGGUGUCACACCACUGCCCGGCAGGUGACAACGCUGAAUUGGUCCUCAGGAGCAGAUGUUCAAGGAACCCUGCCUAUGCUCCAUGCCAGCUGCCAGUCCUAGGUUGGAACAUUCCACUGGGGACAUCCAUGGGAGAGCUAACAAGUCCUGAGCCCUGACCUGAAGCCAUCAGUGGCCUAGCUGCUCUACCUGACUUUGUGGCCUCUCUUCCUGGAUCUCUUGCUUACGACAACCGACAACAAAGAUGUUUGACUCCAGAAGAUGCUCCCCGCGGCCCACCUGAGAGGACUGUCCACACCCCACCCCACUGCGCCCUGUGCCAUCUACCUCUGAGUCCCCAACUCGUAGCCCCUGCUUCUCACCCAUGUUUCAACUCCCACCCCAGAGCCUUUUAUUCCAGAUCUGAGCAGCCCUUGCUUAGGAACCUGAGGUGGGGGUGGGUAGGCAGACCCAGGGGACUGAGCAGGGAGGGGAAGGAGGGGUUUCUGCUCUUGGCUUUCAAAGUUCUCAGUGUGUGUGGCCCUUUGAAUAAUAAACAUAUGUCAUAUAAUGUAAA